CUGGCGGCAGGCUUAACACAUGCAAGUCGAGCGGGCGUAGCAAUACGUCAGCGGCAGACGGGUGAGUAACGCGUGGGAACAUACCUUUUGGUUCGGAACAACACAGGGAAACUUGUGCUAAUACCGGAUAAGCCCUUACGGGGAAAGAUUUAUCGCCGAAAGAUUGGCCCGCGUCUGAUUAGCUAGUUGGUAGGGUAAUGGCCUACCAAGGCGACGAUCAGUAGCUGGUCUGAGAGGAUGAUCAGCCACAUUGGGACUGAGACACGGCCCAAACUCCUACGGGAGGCAGCAGUGGGGAAUAUUGGACAAUGGGGGCAACCCUGAUCCAGCCAUGCCGCGUGAGUGAUGAAGGCCCUAGGGUUAUAAAGCUCUUUUGUGCGGGAAGAUAAUGACGGUACCGCAAGAAUAAGCCCCGGCUAACUUCGUGCCAGCAGCCGCGGUAAUACGAAGGGGGCUAGCGUUGCUCGGAAUCACUGGGCGUAAAGGGUGCGUAGGCGGGUCUUUAAGUCAGGGGUGAAAUCCUGGAGCUCAACUCCAGAACUGCCUUUGAUACUGAAGUCGUA
rnacentral:rRNA from 1 species